rnacentral:misc_RNA from 1 species
GAUGAAGAACGUAGCGAAAUGCGAUAAGUAGUGUGAAUUGCAGAAUUCCGUGAAUCAUCGAAUCUUUGAACGCACAUUGCGCCUUCUGGUAUUCCGGAAGGCAUGCCUGUUCGAGAGUCAUUAACAACCGUUUCGAUCCCUUUCUUUUAGAAAUUACAAAGAGGAAAAGGGUUUGGUUAUGGUGGAGGAGGGAAAGGGAGCGUUUAGCCUGUAAAAAAAGAGGCUGUGUUCCGCCUCCCCCCCAAAAUUGUACAGGCGGUCGUGUGCGCCCACGCAUCGAGGUGUUGUAAAAGCUGCCACGGCACUUUUCACCUGUGCAGUGCGAGAUUGGCCAGCCGGUUUAAAAACCCCUCCAAACAAUCAAAGGUUGACCUCGGAUCAGGUAGGGAUACCCGCUGAACUUAAGCAUAUCAAUAAGCGGAGGA